GGGCGAUUAGCUCAGCUGGUUAGAGCGCGGCUUUCACACGGCCGAGGUCACUGGUUCGAGUCCAGCAUCGCCCA
rnacentral:tRNA from 1 species